rnacentral:rRNA from 1 species
GACGAACGCUGGCGGCGUGCUUAACACAUGCAAGUCGAACGGAAAGGCCCUGCUUUUGUGGGGUGCUCGAGUGGCGAACGGGUGAGUAACACGUGAGUAACCUGCCCUUGACUUUGGGAUAACUUCAGGAAACUGGGGCUAAUACCGGAUAGGAGCUCCUGCUGCAUGGUGGGGGUUGUAAAGUUUCGGCGGUUGGGGAUGGACUCGCGGCUUAUCAGCUUGUUGGUGGGGUAGUGGCUUACCAAGGCUUUGACGGGUAGCCGGCCUGAGAGGGUGACCGGCCACAUUGGGACUGAGAUACGGCCCAGACUCCUACGGGAGGAAGCAGUGGGGAAUAUUGCACAAUGGGCGGAAGCCUGAUGCAGCAACGCCGCGUGCGGGAUGACGGCAUUAGGGCUGUAAACCGCUUUCGCCUGUGACGAAGCGUGAGUGACGGUAAUGGGUAAAGAAGCACCGGCUAACUACGUG